rnacentral:rRNA from 1 species
UACACAAUAUGAAGGCGGGCUGGACACCCUCCAGCCGGGCACUGCUUCACGGCGUGCGCGGCUGGAGCCGGCCCUGCUGAAUUAUUCACCCGUGUCUUUUGCGUACUUCUUGUUUCCUGGGUGGGCUCGCCCGCCAUCAGGACCAACCAUAAACCUUUUUGUAAUAGCAAUCAGCGUCAGUAACAACGUAAUUAAUUACAACUUUCAACAACGGAUCUCUUGGUUCUGGCAUCGAUGAAGAACGCAGCGAAAUGCGAUACGUAGUGUGAAUUGCAGAAUUCAGUGAAUCAUCGAAUCUUUGAACGCACAUUGCGCCCUUUGGUAUUCCAAAGGGCAUGCCUGUUCGAGCGUCAUUUGUACCCUCAAGCUUUGCUUGGUGUUGGGCGUCUUUUGUCUCCAGCUCGCUGGAGACUCGCCUUAAAGUCAUUGGCAGCCGGCCUACUGGUUUCGGAGCGCAGCACAAGUCGCGCUCUUGCCCAGCCAAGGUCAGCGUCCAGCAAGCCUUUUUUCAACCUUUGACCUCGGAUCAGGUAGGGAUACCCGCUGAACUUAAGCAUAUCAAUAAGCGGAGGAAAAGAAACCAACAGGGAUUGCCCUAGUAACGGCGAGUGAAGCGGCAACAGCUCAAAUUUGAAAUCUGGCUCUUUCAGAGUCCGAGUUGUAAUUUGCAGAGGGCGCUUUUGGCUUUGGCAGCGGUCCAAGUUCCUUGGAACAGGACGUCACAGAGGGUGAGAAUCCCGUACGUGGUCGCUGGCUAUUGCCGUGUAAAGCCCCU